rnacentral:tRNA from 5 species
GCGGACGUGGCGAAAUUGGUAGACGCACGGGACUUAAAAUCCCUCGCCCUCAGGGUGUGCGGGUUCGAGUCCCGCCGUCCGCACCA